UUCGGCAGCACAGCGCUCACGGGGUGGGGUACAGCAGGGCAGCGCUCUUCUUUUUUGCUUGGGGCAGCAAAAAAGUUAGAGCCGGCCCUGGUCUGGUAUAUCUUGGAGUACAAAGAGACACACUAGCAACAGCCUGUUUUAUGAAAGAAGGGUCACUGUCAGCCUGGCUGUACAAUACUGCAAGGAUUUUGGAAGCAAGGAACUACAUCGCUGCACUGUACUAAGACAAGGAUCAUUGCAUCAACUUUUUCCCCUUGACUCCACAAUAAGACAAUGUCAGAGUGACAGCCGCCAGCAUCCCCUGGCCUUCCUCGUUGUAAUUCUAUUGAAUAUCAAUGGCAAAAGCAUUUUGCAGCUGACUGUUUUUCCUCUGACACUACGGUUUCUGACUGGGAAGCAGCCUACCAGAUUUUUGGCUGUACUGAUUGUACAUUCCUCUCAGCAUCAAGGAACAUUUCUCUAUCAUGAGGAAAAGGAUGGCUGAUGUGGCCAAGCACCUGAUGGAGCCUUUUGUGACUGACAAAUGCCAAGUACUGUAUUCUCUAUCUCCACUUUGUCCUGCCCCCAAAAUUGGAAAAUCCAGUUGAGGAGUGUUCAUCCAGCUAAGGACACAGACUCCUUUUAUCAAGAAAUGUAGUUGAUGAUUACGUUGCUCUGUAUUUGGAGAGAGAUUAUGUCAAUGUGUUACGUGGACUUCUUUGAAAGAUGAGUUGUGUUCACAAAGAAUGUUUGCGUAUAGGGGAAAAUAGGCUCCUUAGGAAUAUUUAAAAGCUCUCUAAGGAAGGUUUAAGAAAUCUUGUCAGAAAUAGGCAAAUCACCCUAAUCUUCCAUUCAGUAUGGUGGCAGAAUUUGUACAAGUGCUUCUGUAAGUCUCUGAGAACAUCAUUGUUUAUGUUUAUCUAUUGCAGCAGCUUUCCCUGUCUAGGAGUAAGUGUAUUUAAAUCUUCCUAUUAAAUUGUUAGCUAAAGAAGUCUGGUUUUGGCACAGCAAUGGUGCCUUGCCAUCUGACAAUACAUCCUCCUGACCAAACUCUGAAGUGGUAGACACCUGUUUUUCAAUAGAAUUAGGUAACUGACUUAGUGUGGGUACCUUUUUAUAUUUAGUUUUCUAGGAUUCAUAGCUGUUCAGAAGAUGUUAUUUACAUUUCUGCUUUUCCUAAGCCAUUAAAAAAAUAGCGUACUUCUGGAGCCCUCUUGAUUGCAAAUUAUAAAAAUUAAAAGACUGUCAAAUGUCA